AAUGAACGUUGGCGGCAUGGAUUAGGCAUGCAAGUCGAGCGAGAAGUGUAGCAAUACACGGAAGGCGGCGGAAGGGAGAGUAAUACGUGGGAAUCUGCCCUUAGACCUGGGAUAGCAGCGGGAAACUGCUGGUAAUACCAGAUAAUGUCUAUGGACCAAAGGUGUGAUUCCGUCUAGGGAUGAGCCCACGUCCUAUUAGCUAGUUGGUAGGGUAAUGGCCUACCAAGGCGAUGAUGGGUAGCGGGUGUGAGAGCAUGACCCGCCUCACUGGGACUGAGACACUGCCCAGACACCUACGGGUGGCUGCAGUCGAGAGUCUUCGGCAAUGGGCGCAAGCCUGACCGAGCGAUGCCGCGUGCGGGAUGAAGGCCUUCGGGUUGUAAACCGCUGUCGAGGGGGAGCAACUUCCAUAGAGUUAUCUUUAUGGAUUGAGUGAUCCCUGGAGGAAGGACGGGCUAAGUUCGUGCCAGCAGCCGCCGUAAGAC
rnacentral:rRNA from 1 species